CCUACGGGAGGCAGCAGUGGGGAAUAUUGGGCAAUGGGCGCAAGCCUGACCCAGCAACGCCGCGUGAAGGAAGAAGGCUUUCGGGUUGUAAACUUCUUUUAAGAGGGAAGAGCAGAAGACGGUACCUCUUGAAUAAGCCUCGGCUAACUACGUGCCAGCAGCCGCGGUAAUACGUAGGAGGCGAGCGUUAUCCGGAAUGACUGGGCGUAAAGGGUGCGUAGGUGGUUUGGCAAGUUAGUAGCGUAACUCCAAGGCUCAACCUUGGAACUACUACUAAAACUGUUGGACUUGAGUGCAGGAGGGGCAACCGGAAUUCCUAGUGUAGCGGUGGAAUGCGUAGAUAUUAGGAGGAACACCAGUGGCGAAGGCGGGUUGCUAGACUGUAACUGACACUGAGGCACGAAAGCGUGGGGAGCAAACAGGAUUAGAUACCCUGGUAGUC
rnacentral:rRNA from 1 species